UAAGAUAUUAACUUGAUAAUCAGUCUCAUAACCUGAAGGUCGCAGGUUCAAAUCCUGCCCCCGCAACCA
rnacentral:tRNA from 1 species